UACGUAGGGUGCGAGCGUUAAUCGGAAUUACUGGGCGUAAAGUGUGCGCAGGCGGCCGAGCAAGUCGAGUGUGAAAGCCCCGAGCUUAACUUGGGAACUGCGCUCGAAACUACUUGGCUAGAGUGUGGCAGAGGGAGGUGGAAUUCCACGUGUAGCGGUGAAAUGCGUAGAGAUGUGGAGGAACACCGAUGGCGAAGGCAGCCUCCUGGGCCAACACUGACGCUCAUGCGCGAAAGCGUGGGGAGCAAACAGG
rnacentral:rRNA from 1 species